rnacentral:lncRNA from 1 species
CUAAAUUAUGCACAGAAAUCUCACUAUUUGUUUUUAAAGAUUUGAAAAAAGUAAUCUUAAAAUAAUACAAUGCAGAAAACAUGUUUAUUGAAGCCUUGAGUUUUCAAGUCCCUUUCAAUGAUUUGGCAUGCAGAGAGAAGAGCUGGCAGGAGCCAAGGAUCCCAUGCUGGACAUGUUCCCCCAAAACACAAUUUUGGGGGAAAAGAAUCAGUUCUCUCCACAAAGAAGAGUGGGGCUGACCGCCCUGAUGCCAGCAGGUCAAGGAUACUGAGGGAGGCAACCCUACUUGGAGAUCCAAGGGGCUCUAGGAGCCUGCCUAGGAUCUCACUCUGUGGUUCAGGCUGGCCUCAAAUGUGCAAUGAUCCUCCUAUCUCAGCCUUUUGAGUGAAAAUUUUCUUUUCUUAUGGUGAGUAGUACUCCAUAUAUCAGAUUUCUUUCUUUUUUUUUUUUGGUACUGGGCAUCGAACUCAGGCCCUUGCACUUGUGCAGCAGGUGGUGCAACCUCUGAGCUAAAUCCCUGGCCCCUUCAGAUUUCUUAUAUCCAUUCAUCUGUUGAUGGUGUAUAAGUCAUUUCAAAGUUUCAAGUAUUAUGAAUGGUGUUGCUAUCAACAUGAGAAACAUAUGUGUCUCUGUAAGAUAAUGUCUUUAUGUUUCUCAGGAAGUUACCCAGAUGGAUUAUAACUGAGUCAAAUGAAAUUUAUCAUUUUAGUUUUCAGAGUGCUUGUACUAGUUUUCAUUCCAAUCAGCAUUGUACAAGAGUUUUCUUUCCCUUACAACCUUGCCUGUUUUUGUUACUUUUUGAGUUCUUUUUUCUUUUUUUGGUACCGGAGAUUGAACUCAGGGGCUUUCCCUAGUGAGGCAGGAUUUUUUAGAGUUCUUGAUAAUAGCCAUGCCUAGUGGAAUGAGAUGGAACCUAAUGUUGUUUUGAUUUGAAUUUCUCUAAUGGCCAACAAUGUUGAACAUAUUUUAUAUAAUUUAUUGGCCAUUUGUUUUUCUUUGAGAAGUGUGUUUUCAUUAAAAUUGCUCUUUUUAAUUUGGUCUUUCAUUUUGGAGGAGUUGUUGUUGUUCUUUAUUCUAGAUAUUAGAAUAAUAUCUCUGUCCAAUGAAAAGCUGACAAAGAAUUUCCCACUGUGGAGGUUGUCUCUUCAGUCAGUUCUUGUUCUCUGUUCUGUGCAAAAGCUUCUUAAUUUGGUAUAAUCCCAUUUGUUGAUUCUUAAUUUUUUUUGUACCGGGGAUUAAACUCAGGACCUUUCAGUUGUGAGGUAGGCACUGGAACCCCU